rnacentral:tRNA from 1 species
GGAGUUGUGGCUCAGUGGUAGAGUGCUUGCCUUGUAUGUGCGAGGCCCUGGGUUCAAUCCUCAGCACCA